rnacentral:rRNA from 1 species
AACGAACGCUGGCGGCAGGCCUAACACAUGCAAGUCGAGCGCACCUUCGGGUGAGCGGCGGACGGGUUAGUAACGCGUGGGAACGUGCCCAGAUCUACGGAAUAGCCUCGGGAAACUGAGAGUAAUACCGUAUACGCCCUUCGGGGGAAAGAUUUAUCGGAUUUGGAUCGGCCCGCGUUAGAUUAGGUAGUUGGUGGGGUAAUGGCCUACCAAGCCUACGAUCUAUAGCUGGUUUUAGAGGAUGAUCAGCAACACUGGGACUGAGACACGGCCCAGACUCCUACGGGAGGCAGCAGUGGGGAAUCUUGGACAAUGGGCGCAAGCCUGAUCCAGCCAUGCCGCGUGAGUGAUGAAGGCCUUAGGGUCGUAAAGCUCUUUCGCCAGGGAUGAUAAUGACAGUACCUGGUAAAGAAACCCCGGCUAACUCCGUGCCAGCCGCCGCCGUAACAC